CCAACCUUUCCUCAUUCAAGAGCUUCUCAGUGACCUAAAUUACGUCGCUUGUUCUUUGGAUGCAUCCGUUUCUAUCUUUUUGCUCCGGAUGGAGCAAUCAGAUUGAAGACAGCUAUACAAAGGUUUCCAUCCUUCUGGUGGCGUCAGAUCACACUUAGACUGAGUAUGUCGUCCUGUUUUAACUGAUGAUAUGAAAACCUCUGACAGAGAUCAAUUCUUCGCAGACGGAAUUCACUGAAAUCAAUGACGUCAGCAUAGCAUCAGACUAUGAUGGACGUGGAUUAUCACUUCCCACCCAUUCUUUCAGUUUUGAUCCAUCAUUUAAACUAUUAACGAGCUGUUAAAAAGUGGUACAAGAUGGUACCCCAACUUUAUCAAUACUGUAAGUAUUAUUGGAUGUUUCUGU
ensembl:lncRNA